UACGAAGGGGGCUAGCGUUGCUCGGAAUUACUGGGCGUAAAGCGUGCGCAGGCGGGUACUUAAGUCAGGGGUGAAAGCCCUGGGCUUAACCUAGGAAUUGCGCUUGAGACUGGGUAGCUUUGAGUGUGGCAGAGGGAGGUGGAAUUCCACGUGUAGCAGUGAAAUGCGUAGAGAUGUGGAGGAACACCGAUGGCGAAGGCAGCCUCCUGGGCCAGCACUGACGCUCAUGCACGAAAGCGUGGGGAGCAAACAGG
rnacentral:rRNA from 1 species